AUACUUACUGGCGGGGGAGAUACCAUGAUCUUGAAGGUGAUUUUCUCAGGGUGAGACACCCAUUGUACUCCGGGUGUGCUGACCCCUGUGAUUUCUCCAAAUGUGGCAAACUCGACUACAUAAUCUGUGGUAGCGGGGAACUGCAUUCGCAUUCUCCUG
ensembl:snRNA U1 U1 spliceosomal RNA